UUGAAACCUGGCAAGGCUUAUCUACCUAGACCUUCGGAGUGGCUGUGGGGCUGCUACCAGGAAAUUUCGGGGACAUUUCUUGUACUCAGGGCUGGUGCUAUGGGAGAGCUGGAGGUUGCUGUCACCUAUGAGACCAUGCAGUUUUGGAGGGGCACAAUUUGAAUCCAGCUAUCAUUUUGGACUGGCUUUAGGUUCUUUUGGUGAGUAGACGAUAUCUGAAGUGCUGCACCCACAUUAUGACUAUGUGAUCAUAUUUAUUUGGAGAAAACAAAAAACCCACAACCCACAGGAUGGGAUUUUACAUCAAGACAUCUCCCAGCCUACUCACAAGAAGAUGGCAAAGAUGAAGACUUUUAUGAUGAUCCACUUCCACUUAAUGAACAGCUGAAGCCCCUUCACCUUCUGCCAUGAGUGGAAGCAGCCUGAGGACCUCACCAAAGGCAGAUUCUGGUGCCAUGCUCCUUGUCCAAUCUGCAGAACUAUGAGCCAAAUAAACCAUUUUUCUUUAUAAAUUACC
rnacentral:lncRNA from 1 species